rnacentral:rRNA from 1 species
GAUGAACGCUGGCGGCGUGCCUAAUACAUGCAAGUCGAGCGAACAGACGAGGAGCUUGCUCCUCUGACGUUAGCGGCGGACGGGUGAGUAACACGUGGAUAACCUACCUAUAAGACUGGGAUAACUUCGGGAAACCGGAGCUAAUACCGGAUAAUAUAUUGAACCGCAUGGUUCAAUAGUGAAAGACGGUUUUGCUGUCACUUAUAGAUGGAUCUGCGCCGCAUUAGCUAGUUGGUAAGGUAACAGCUUACCAAGGCAACGAUGCGUAGCCGACCUGAGAGGCUGAUCGGCCACACUGGAACUGAGCCACGGUCCAGACUCCUACGGGAGGCGGCAGUAGGGAAUCUUCCGCAAUGGGCGAACGCCUGACGGAGCAACGCCGCGUGAGUGAUGAAGGUCUUCGGAUCGUAAAACUCUGUUAUUAGGGAAGAACAAAUGUGUAAGUAACUAUGCACGUCUUGACGGUACCUAAUCAGAAAGCCACGGCUAACUACGUG